CUGGAGACUCCUCUUUUGUUUCCUUAGAUAUUUAUAGACCCAUGAAUUAUGGUCAUCUGGGUCUAAAAGACAUCCACUUCUUUGUGUACUCACAGAAUGACAAAAUAACUUAUACCUGACCAAGAUGGCUGCCAUUUCCAGCACUUUCUAGAGUUAUGAAGGUUUAUGACAGGCCACUCUCUGUUUCUAGGUUAUUGUAUCUCCAUGUGUGUACUGAUUUGAUUGCUGGUUCUUCUUCACAGGUUGCCUAACAUUGGCAACACUUGCUUCCUAAAUGCCACCCUGCAGUGCCUCCUGGUCCUGCCUUCCUUCUCAAAGGAAAUCCUACGCCAGGAACAACUCUGGAACUCCUCCCCCUUCUCCAACCUGCUCAGUGGCGCAAACCAGGCCUCAAAAGCAGACCUCAUGUGGAAGGUCAAGUACUCCUUGUCGGGAUAUGAUUUGAAGUAUCUGGGGGACACGCAACAGGACGCACACGAGUUACUUGUGAAUAUGCUGUGCUGUGCCAGCUGAAGGAGGAGGGAAUGAUACUGAAGACACUCGGGGUGAACUAUACCUGCCCUGUUUCCCAGCUGGAGUUCCAGCUUGUCUCAGUGCGCACAUGUACCAGGGCGAAAAGGUUGAAUGAAUUCACAUGUGCGGGCUGCAAAGGCCUCUACAGCUCAAAAGUGGAGCAGUUCCACACACUGCCUCUUGUGCUGGUUCUGCACCUGAAGAGGUUCGGAGGACCUGGGGGGUUGGAGAAGCUGGAGACUCCUCUUUUGUUUCCU